GGCGGGGCUGGGGCGGGGCUGGGGGCGACGGGGCGCGCCCCUGACCCAGCCGCCCGGCAGGCCGUGGAGCUGCGGAGCCUGUGGCGGGAGCGCGCGUGCGUGGUGGCCGGGCUGCGGCGCUUCGGGUGCGUUGUGUGCCGCUGGAUCGCCCAGGACCUCAGCAGCCUCGCUGGGCUCCUGGACCAGCACGGCGUGCGCCUGGUGGGCGUGGGGCCCGAGGCCCUGGGUCUGCAGGAGUUCCUGGACGGCGACUACUUCGCGGGAGAGCUCUACCUGGAUGAGAGCAAGCAGCUUUAUAAGGAGCUGGGCUUCAAGCGGUACAACAGCCUGAGCAUCCUCCCAGCAGCUCUGGGGAAGCCCGUGCGUGAUGUGGCUGCCAAGGUUUGUGUGGGUCAAGGGUGUACAGGCCGGGGGGUGGGUGGUGGGAGCUCCCAGGGGCCUUUCCUCUAGGAUUGACCCAGGCUGUGCCCACUCCUGACAGGCCAAGGCUGUUGGCAUCCAGGGGAACUUGUCUGGGGACCUGCUGCAGAGCGGAGGGCUGCUGGUGGUCAGCAAAGGUGGUGAUAAAGUGCUGCUGCAUUUCGUCCAGAAGUCCCCAGGCGACUACGUCCCCAAGGAGCACAUCCUGCAGGUUCUGGGCAUCUCUGCGGAGGUCUGUGCCAGCAACCCGCCUCAGUGUGACAGAGAGGCGUGAGGGAGGCGAAGGCCCUGGCCCCCGAGGAGCUGGGUGGCGUCUGCUGCCCUAGGUGUGCUGGAAGUCCGCUUGGAAGAACUGUUCUG
rnacentral:sRNA from 1 species